GGACCAUUAGCUUAGCUGGCCUAAAGCACCCGACUUUUAAUCGGGGAUCCUGGGUUCGAAUCCCAGAUGGUUCACCA
rnacentral:tRNA from 1 species